rnacentral:lncRNA from 1 species
GCUGCACCCACACCCGUGGAGGAGAGAGGAUGGUGAAGGAUAGGAAUCGCCGGGCCUGGUCCAGCAUCCUGAAAAACUUUUUCGGGAUGUUGGAUCAGACCCGGCGAACCCUGUCCAGACCCGGGUCUUCCUGUGUGGCACUCCAACAGCGAUAUCACUCGGCCAUCCGGCCGCCCAUAUUUUUUAUAAGGAAACGUGGCUGGCUGUUUGGAUAUCCCUUUGGCAUUCGAAUCGUUGUGCCGAUUCCCAUAAGUUUGGUAUCAUUAAAACGAUCUAAUCCUCGGAUUUCUGCAAAAACCAAGAUUUUUUAUCGUUUUUAAUAAUUCAAAAAUUAAGGAGG